GACGAACCGAGCGAACGUUGUUCGGAAUCACUGGGCUUAAAGGGCGCGUAGGCGGGCUGCCGCGUCCGGGGUGAAAUCCUCCGGCUCAACCGGGGAACGGCCUCGGAUACGGGCGGCCUCGAGGGGGGUAGGGGCAUCUGGAACUGUGGGUGGAGCGGUGAAAUGCGCAGAUAUCAGGAGGAACACCUAUGGCGAAGGCAGCUCUCUGGGACGGUACUGACGCUGAGACGCGAAAGCGUGGGGAGCGAACAGG
rnacentral:rRNA from 1 species